GUUCCGUGUAAAUCAUGUGGCCACUGAAAGUGAGGAUGUAGAUUCGUUCAUCCUGCAGGUUUGGCUACACCACCCACCUUGUCGCAGACGCUGUUCUAGGUGCUGGGGACACGUCAGUGAAGAAAACAGAAGCAGACCUCUGUCCCCAUGGCGCCUGCAGUCUAGUGCUGUCGUAGUCUGUCCUGGCGGCUAUAACAAUUUAUCAUAAACUCGGUGGCUUAAAAGCGACAUUUCUUUCUCACAGUUCUGAAGACUGGGAAGUCCACCAUCAAGGCACCGGCAGAUUCAGUGUUUGGGGAAAAUCGCAAAGAAAAGGUAAACCCUUUGUGAGGAAUUCCCCUGUGGUCACACGGCAGUUCCUGGACCUGCUGCCCAUCUCGGAUCUGCACUGCCCCUUCUUCAAACUUCUGAAGAGGGAUUCAAGUGGCUUGUGCGGUGAAGCCAAGAUUUCCAACUCAGUCGCCUGAAGAGACGGAGGCUCCGUUUGUGGAGCUGGAGGUCCCUGGAGAUCUGGGCGUUAACGUAACAAGCACGGACAAGGGCCAGCUGCUGACUUGACUCCUCUGGGCCUCGAUUUCAUCUUCUGUAAAAAGGGGCUAAUUAUGUUUGUUGUGAAGACUAAGUUAAUAUGUGAAAAGUAUGUGACACAAUGGAAGAAACGUUGAGAAACAUUGACAUUAUUUUUGUUAUUUAGGCUACAUUGAGUCUGGUUCACUAAGAGACACCCAAGUGGACACAGGAUUAGAUGGGUCAGGAGCUCAGCAGAGGAGAGAGUUACAGAGAUUUGGGGUCAUUACCAUAGUGGGUGGUGGCAUAUUAAGAAAUACAUAUUUGGUCUUUGUCCCCAGUUCCCGACACAGAGCUCCUCAAUCCCUUGGCGUUUCCUGGGUGAUAGGGGCGUCUUUGUUCCAGUGAGGUGACUGUUGGUGGGCGGGCCCCUAGAUAGCUUCAGGAUGGGGGCUGGUCGCCUGAAAGAUCAGCCUUGAUUAGAAGCCUGGAACUUUCAGCCCCACUCCCACCUCCAACCUCCGGGGAGGGGAGGGGGCUGCAAACUGAGUUAAUAAUCGGUUAUGCCUAAGUGAUGAAACCUCCAUAAAAACCCCUAAGCGAAGGGGUUCGGAGAGCUUCCGAGCUGGUGAACGAGUCCACAUGCCCGGAGGGCGGCGCACCCCGACUCCACAGGACAGAAGUUCCUGCGCUCGGGCCCUUCUGGACCUCGCCCUGUGUAGCACCUCUCUAUCUGACUGCUCACUUGGA
ensembl:lncRNA